GGACCGAACCGAACCAGGCUGCGG
rnacentral:siRNA from 1 species